GACGAACCGUGCGAACGUUGUUCGGAAUCACUGGGCUUAAAGGGCGCGUAGGCGGGCUGUCAAGUCUGGGGUGAAAUGCCACGGCUCAACCGUGGAACUGCCUUAGAUACUGACGGCCUCGAGGGAGGUAGGGGCGUGCGGAACUGUAGGUGGAGCGGUGAAAUGCGUUGAUAUCUACAGGAACUCCGGUGGCGAAAGCGGCGCGCUGGACCUCUUCUGACGCUGAGGCGCGAAAGCUAGGGGAGCAAACGGGG
rnacentral:rRNA from 1 species